CCUACGGGUGGCAGCAGUGGGGAAUAUUGCACAAUGGGGGAAACCCUGAUGCAGCGACGCCGCGUGAGUGAAGAAGGAUCUCGGUACGUAAAGCCCUUUCAGCAGGGAAGAAAAUGACGGUACCUGACUAAUAAGCCCCGGCUAACUACGUGCCAGCAGCCGCGGUAAUACGUAGGGGGCAAGCGUUAUCCGGAUUUACUGGGGGUAAAGGGAGCGUAGGCGGCAGCACAAGUCUGGUGUGAAAUCCCGGGGCUUAACCCUGGAACUGCUUUUGAAACUGUGAGGCUGGAGUGCAGGAGGGGUAGGCGGAAUGCUUGGUGUAGCGGUGAAAUGCGUAGAGAUCAGGAGGAACACUGGUGGCGAAGGCGGCUUACUGGACUGUAACUGACGUUGAGGCUCGAAAGCGUGGGGAGCAAACAGGAUUAGAUACCCCAGUAGUC
rnacentral:rRNA from 1 species